rnacentral:tRNA from 1 species
GCCUCGGUAGCUCAGGAGUAGAGCAGGAGACUGAAAAUCUCUGUGUCGGAGGUGCGAAUCCUUCCCGAGGCA